CCAUCCACCCAUCUAUCUAUCUAUCCGUCCAUCUACCCACCUAUCCAUCCAUCCAUCCAUCCAGCCCUCCAUCCAAUUAUUCAACCACAAUCCACUCUCCCAGCCUUGCACAAUCAUUCCCCAGGCUACAUACCCACCCACCCACCUGUACAUCCCCUCACCCAUCCACUCAUACAUUCAGGCAUAUAGGAUUUAUCAGACACCCACCUGCUCCACCUCAGACCAGCUCAGGUCCCAGGCAUGCCAGCAUGUCUCCAGGCUGCCCGGACUUACAUGAUUCACAUGCUCAAAGGUGAAAACAAAGAUCCGGGCCUCAGAACUGCUCAUCACGCUCUUGGAUCCUAAUUCAUAUCCAGACUUUGGCCGUGGGAGCCCUCUGUGAAUGUGUGGCGUGGGACUCCCACUGGGACAAGGAUUCCAAGGGUUUCGCUGCUAGAAUCAGCUAUGGGGGAUGGGGGGUUGUGGCAGUCAUUGAAUUGUAGGAUGGAAAUGGAGGGAUCCUAGAAAUGCCUGCUCUGACAUAUACAAGCGGUUUCCACUCAGGUCUUAGGGUUUCCUUCCAUGAUAUUUAUUCAGUGAGGAAGUGCUGAGGCCUGCAGUGCCUGGUGCUGGGCUAGGGGUGAUGAUUCAACAGGAGCAACAUGUUCAGGACUACCUCCAUCAUGGGGCUUGUUUAGGGAGGGGUGCUGCACUCUUGGCCGAUUGUCCACACCACGGUCUAGGAGCAAGGCUGCACCCAAAAAUGCUGUUUUGUGCUAAGAGGUACCUGGAGGACUGUGAAAAGGAGGCCCCUUCCCACAACCUUCCCAGGUCUGGAUGCAUUUUGGGGGGAGCAGGAGGUGAGAAGGGCUCAAAUUAAUAAGCGGUCUCUGUUUGGGGUUGUUCUGGCUGUCCUGGAGUAGGUGAGGGGAGUUGCAGGUACUGUGAAAACCCAUCGAGGACCUGGGCCAGGGCCAAUGGAGCCCUCCUGGCAGGGGGACAAGCUUCCUGCAGGUCAUGGUCAGGACUACACACCCCAGACACCCAGAAGCAGUCAGAAUCCUCUACCGAAGGCUUGCGGACUCAGCCUCGUCCGGAGCACCAGUGUGCUCAUCCAGGGGAGGAGGCCCAGAGGCCUCCAGCCAUCCUGACCUGAAUUUUAUUCAACCAAGUUCCCCACUCCACGGUUUGCAUGGUGAUGAUUUCCUAACCCAGUUGCAGAACUUUGAGCUGAUUUCUGGGAUGCCUCAGGGCUGUCUGCUGCUUGGAAGUCAGAAGGACCAGGACUUCGAUCUCUGCUGCACUGAGUCCAAGCCGUGUGACCUUGGGGACGUGGCUUCGUCUCUCUGAGCCACCUGUCCUCAACUCUACAGUGGGACAAUAAUAGCACCCACCCCACAGGGUGCAUGCACAUUCGACAAGGGAACAUGUGUUCAUGGCCAGCCCAGGCUGGGAGGAGGGGUCUCCUCCCUCUCCUCCCCCGUCCCCCUCCUGCAGCCCCCCUCCUCCCCUGUCCCCCAGAUGGGAGUGUGCAGGUCCAGCUCCCCCAGAACGCUGACAGACUGGGGCAGGCUUGGACUCAUUGUUGUCUGAAGCCUUAAGUCUUGGCUAACAUAAUUAGGAUAAUUCCAGAGAUGAGUUCUGAAAUCUCGGGGAAGAGGAAUAGGCGAGGGGAGUGAGCUGCCCUCCCAGCCUGCUUCACUGAGUGUGUUAAAUGGCAGCUCCAUGAUUUACCUUCCUAUUUACAGAGUAAGCCUCAGCGCCAGGAAGCCCUGUGUGGCAGCGGCCGCAGGACACAAGAAGAAUGAGGUGUCGGAUAAGGAGCCUGGAGCUUGGAGGGCGAGGCUGAUGGUCAUGGAGGGUGUCAUGAGACCGGGGAGUCCCACUGGGCCAGCAGGAUGGAGCCACCGUUCCCAAGCCUCAGUCGGUGUCUGUCCUCCUGUGCUCGUGUCCAGGCUCUGAUUUCUCGGCGGCUGGAUUCCUCUGCGUUCCCAUGGCCUCCCUGCUGGUUUUCUUGCUCCCCCAAGGCCGGGGGUUCCUUCUACUGAAAUUUGUCCCCUGAGAUCUGAAGAUGUUAGGAAAACACGAUUUGACGAGGCCAACACUGACUGAGGUAUGUUUGUUCACGUGUUCUUUCAUUUAUUCAUCCAAAUGACGAUGGUUUGGGUGUUCUGGGAGGUAGACUGAGACGGGGAGGCAUCCUGGGG